CAUGCUGUAAACGAUGUCAACUAGCCGUUGGGGACCUUGAGUCUUUAGUGGCGCAGCUAACGCGAUAAGUUGACCGCCUGGGGAGUACGGUCGCAAGACUAAAACUCAAAUGAAUUGACGGGGGCCCGCACAAGCGGUGGAGCAUGUGGUUUAAUUCGAUGCAACGCGAAGAACCUUACCUGGCCUUGACAUAUCCGGAAUCCUGCAGAGAUGCGGGAGUGCCUUCGGGAAUCGGAAUACAGGUGC
rnacentral:rRNA from 1 species